CACGGUGCCUGAUAUCUGAACAAAAUCAGAUUCUUUAUCCUGAGGAAAGGGGAGAGUGCAGCCAACACUGGCUACCGCAUUUCCUUCCCAGUUAGGAUGCUAAGUUCUUUAGGUGUGACUGAAACAAGGGGAGCAAUGACCUGCACCUUGAAGGAAGGCUUGUUCUCUCCAUGUUACGGAGAACACUGAGGUAGGUGAUUCCUCAAGGUCGUGCAGCUCGGAGCCAAGCUUCAGCAGACUCCAGAGGUGCCCAUCGUCCCCGUGCUGUGGGGUGAGAGGGGAGCUGGGCUACUUUUCCUCGGGCCUUUCGUCUCUCCCAUGUCUUCCCCAGCCAGAGUGUCAAGGAGACUUCUGGAAGCUCAGGGCUCUGUGGCUGCUCAACCCUGCUGGGAGAAGGGAGUUGUGGAUGAUACACAGACGACUGAGAAGCUGUCUGGAAAGUUACCAGUGCAGACUCUGUGGACACAGGAGUGUGUCCCGGAGUGGGGUUCGCGUGGAUGGGCCUGGCUGACUGAGGAGUCAGAUGCUGCAAUUAGGAGCUAUGGGCUUGGAGGGAACUUAGAGGUCAUCUAAUUUAGUGGUUUUGAAGCUUUUGACCACAAUGGACUGUUGCUAUUAAUUUCCCCCAGAGACUCUAUUUUAAAAUAAUUUUGACUGGUUGGAAAAUUUUUAAGGAAAUAAUUUCAUUUUCUGAUUUUAUUAAUCAAAGAUAUAAUAGAUGUCUGCUAAACGGAGCUUCUGACCAGCAUGAGGCAAGCUGCCUUUCCAUACACUGUGGCUACUCCUCCAGCAAAGCACUUGGAAGUGCUUUUAAGGAGCCUGUGCAGACUUUUGGGAGGUGGGGGUGGGGUGGAAAAUGUACAGUUUCAUUAGGCGUUUUCAAAGCUUGGAAACUGUUCAGCCAAUCCUCUCCCUGCCAUGAGCGCCUUCAAGAGUCUGGUGGCCCCAGUUGGAGACCAUUGAUCCAGACCUACUUCCUUAUUUUAUUGUUGAGGAAACGGAGGCCCAGACAGAGAGAAAUGAGCAAGAGAUGGAACUCCAGCGCCUUCCCGAGAGUGCCCCUGCCAGCCUGUGUCUCUGUCUCUGCUGUGAGCCUUGUCAGGAGAUGGUGUGUCAGGAAGAACAGAGAAGCUGCCAG